rnacentral:rRNA from 1 species
GGCGAACGGGUGAGUAACACGUGGGCAAUCUGCCCUGCACUCUGGGACAAGCCCUGGAAACGGGGUCUAAUACCGGAUACAACCACUGACCGCAUGGUCGGGUGGUGGAAAGCUCCGGCGGUGCAGGAUGAGCCCGCGGCCUAUCANNUUGUUGGUGAGGUAAUGGCUCACCAAGGCGACGACGGGUAGCCGGCCUGAGAGGGCGACCGGCCACACUGGGACUGAGACACGGCCCNNNCUCCUACGGGAGGCAGCAGUGGGGAAUAUUGCACAAUGGGCGAAAGCCUGAUGCAGCGACNNNNNGUGAGGGAUGACGGCCUUCGGGUUGUAAACCUCUUUCAGCAGGGANNNAGCGAAAGUGACGGUACCUGCNNNAAAAGCGCCGGCUAACUACGUG